AUGAUAGUCCAAAGUUCUCCCACAAUGCCUGUGAGCUCCCUGGGCUUGCCUCCUCCUGCGUCCUGCUAGCUAUUUUUAAAUGUGACCAGUUUGAAAUUCAGCUAAACCAGCAGCUAUGGUCCCUCAUCCCCAACAACGAUGUGAGAAGGCUUGUUUCUCAUGUUAUCCGGACCUUGAAGACGGACUGCACUGAGACCCAUUUGCAACUGGCCUGUGCCAAGCUCAUCUCUAGGACAGGCCUCCUAAUGAAGCUUCUCAGUGAGCAGCAAGAAUUGAGAACUGUAUCAAUGACAGCAUGGAAGCCCAGAAUGAACAGAAAGAGCAGAAGUCGAAUGAGAUAUUCCUUCAGGUCCUGAUAUGGAAGAAACUACUGAUGUCAGCUGAAGGACCACACUGAUGCAGCUGUCCUGAAGGACUCCCCGAGGAGCUACCUCAUCAAAAAAUACAGUUUCCACUUUGCGAUGAUUUUAUCCCCCUUGCCCCAACCGACCAGCAACCCCAAUUUUCCAGCCCCUCACUCUCCACAAUCCUCUUAAAGCCCCAGGCCAGAACUUCUUGGGAGACAGAUUUGAGGGUUUCCUUCCACUUCCUUGCUGGGUGGCCUGUGAUCAUUAAACUCUUUCUUUGCUGCA
ensembl:lncRNA LRRC37A5P leucine rich repeat containing 37 member A5, pseudogene